CACAACGUGAGCCACCUGCUAUUUUGCAAGAAUAUCAAAGGCAGUGGAAAAGAAGCAUCCAGAAGAACCUUAUGAAUCUAGUGCCCCUUUUCAACCAACUUUGAGAAGAAGCAAAACUUUAAGGUAAUUUUCUACAAGUUUCAGGAAUUAAGAUGUUCAAAGAGGAGAGGUGCCUUGAGCAAUAUAGAAGGAAGGACUGUGUAUAAGAGCAUUCUUUAUUAAAAAGCUAUCAAAGAAGCCAUAUGGCUGUUCAAACCUGAGAGGUAUAUCUAUAGGAUACUAGAUAUAAUUUUAAAUUUCUUGCAUGGGUAUUUAUUUCUGUGGAAUUAUUAAAAUAUUUGCAAGUCAAAACUAUGAAUGAUAUAUAAGCGAGAACACUGUAAAAUGAUAUGAAACUGUGGAAAAGUCUGUAGAAAAGAUUGUGAUGCAAAUUUUAAAUUCUCUAAUAAUUUAUGUAUUGUAUUGAACUAGUGUAUUAUUACUAAAAGGACAGAAGAAAUAAAGAGGGAUAAUGUCAUCAGUGGCUAAUAGGGGUGGAAAUUUAAUGAAAAUAAGAAGUGCAGAGUCAUAGUUAAAAUUUGCAUUGGAGGAAUAUGGGUUCCUGUAAUGCUCUCAAAUUUUAAAUUAAUCUGGUGAGUGUUGGGAAAUAUAUUGCAAUAUUGCCCUUAUUUAAUUUAAUGGAUAAGAAAAAGCUGCCAAAUUUUAAAAAUGUGUUACUUUUUUAAAGGCAGAGGAAUUUUAAAUGCCAGAUUUUAGGAGUUCCUUAUACAUGGUCUGAAGUCACAAGAUUCAAUGUAAGUAUUUUUGUUCUUUGUUUAUUACGAUGAGAGUAUUGAUCCAAGAUGGAAAUCCUUGUAACAGAGACAGCCAAAUUCAGUGAAAGCUGUUGCAAGGACCUGGAAAUUACCUGAUGUAUAUGAGGGAACAAUACAGAGCAGCUGAAGAGUUCUGUAGUGUUGGUGACACACCAAGCAUGGUGUAGUGUGUUUUGCUCUGGGCGAGUCAGUGUCCUGAAGGUGUCAACAAGUCAGAGUAACACCAAAAAUGCAAUAAAAACAUUGUAGAAGCAGGAGAGAGAAAGAGUCAGACUAAACUUGUAUCACUUGGCUACAUGGAAGCCAAAAUUCUACAAAGCCACAACAAUUUAUAUAUACCUGAAUAGUGUACAGGAAAAGAUGGGAAUUACACACUUCAAUGAACAGAGUAUAGAACUGAGAAUGAAAUUAAGAAAAGUUGUAUUGAUCAGAUCUAGAACUCAGAUCCUGUGAUGUUAAAUUUCCUUCUUGCAACAAUACCCUCAGGGCAAGAGGAGGAAGCCUUCUAUUAUGGAAAAACACCAGUAAAUGAACAAUCCUGUAUGGAUAUGUGGUGGUGGGCUAGGCUGAUGGUUGGACUUCAUGAGCUUAGAGCUAUUUUCCAACCUUAACUAUUCUAUACUUCUAUGAUUUUGGGAUCUAACUUAUGGCAAAUUCCUAGUUUAGCAACAAUGUAACCCUGAAGGAGAUGAUGUCACCAUAUUGUUUGACCUACUGUGUAGCAGAGAGGAUAUUCUUGAAGCAAUUCUUGAUUGGCUUAGAUUUCCUUCUUGUCCGUUACAUAUGGUUGCACCUUUGGUGUUCAGGUCAUUAUGCAGUUUUUUUGUUUGUUUGUUUGUUUUUACCUGAAAUAUUCUUCCAGCAGUGAACCAAAGCUAGAAGAUAGGCAGUUUGAGAACAAGUUGUGAGUCCUGUACUUGUGAGGGAGGAAGGGGAGGGGGAACAUAAAAGUUUGAAAAAUUAUCUACUCAAUCUGUCUUUUCUUUCUACUUGAUAACUCUCUACAUAGGAUUUGUUUUGCUGCUGAACAUAUCAUAUAAGAAAUAUCCUAAUGUAUUUUUGUCACAGGAGUAGUGGGAGAUGUGUAUUCUCUCACUACUGGAAAGAAGACAUUUAAAGGAAUUCUAUGCAUCUUGAAUACAUUUUCAGAACGAAAAAUAAAAGUUUAGGAAAGAUAUUUCUGUGUAGUCAAAGAAGGAAUUUACUAAAAAUUCCCUGGUGACAGGUUCUUACCCAAGCAAUAAUAGCUAGCAUGGACCCCUUUUAACCCUUUCAAGCUGUCUGUGAACUGUUUAAUUUAUAGAAUAAUCUAUUUUUAACUAUUUUUGCCUCAUGCCAGUUUACUGGUAGUGCACCUGUGGCUCCUGUUUCAAACUAGGCUCCGUUGUGGAAUACAGGCAUGAAGAUGCAGGGCCCUGCAGUAAGACUUACAUGUAGACUAUCAAUGCUGAGGCCUGACCAAGAGGCUCUCUGAAGUCCAGGAGAAAUUUACCAAAAUGGUUUCGUAAUUGAACACAGAGAUGAUAAAUUAUUUUAAGUAAAGGCUCCAAUCAUGUGUUUGUGCAGCAUCCAGCAUGAUAUUGCUUAUGUCUGAAAGCCUUGACUAUGUGACAAUUCCAGGUAGUAUUAUUUUAUUUAUAAACUAUAUAAUUUUCCCCUUCUUGCUAUGAACAUGUUUUAUCUUCCCUUAACCUAGUUAAGGUUUGUUUUCCCUUUUAUGAAUUUUUAUCUUCCUAUCUCUCAUAUAUUAAUUUGGAAAAGAAAAAUAUAAUUUUACAGAGUUAACUAAACAAUAUGCCCUGGUUUUAAACCAACAAAGUCAAAAUACUCAGUAUUCCAGGGUUGAACCCAACAAUUCAUCCUCUGUGGCUCCCAGACUUACAUCCGCUCUAAAAUAAAUGAGCACAGUCCCAAAUACUGAGGCUGACUUGUUAUCUCUAUAUGUACUUUUCAGAUAACAGACAUUAAAUAACUCACUAUACAAAGUCUUAUUUCAAUUAAAAUGGUAAAACUGAUAAAGAAGUUUUCUUUACUUUUGGGAACAUAUCUCUGGCUUGUAAUUGCAUUAAUUACAAAUACACACAGUUGAAAAGUUAUUCAAAUGCAAAUUUUCUUAAUGAGAAGAAAGCAACUGGGAGUAUAAUUUUUAGUUGUUGCAGUUAAUGAAAGUAUUUGAUUUUGUUUUAAUUGCACUUUUAAUAAAAUAAAGUGCUCUCACAGAGAUGAGGUUUCACUAAUACAGCAUCAUCUAAGCAGUGCUAGAGCUUCCAAAGGUUGCUGAUGGUGGAUAGAUCAGCUGGCACUGGGCUCUUGCUGGAGAUAAGAAAAGCAAAAAACCCUUGCUCCUGGGCAGUGCUGAUCUCUGGCUAACAGGAGUGUGCUGAAGAAUGUCAUCAGAAUGACCCUAAUGGUUCUCUGAUAUUUUAUCUAACACUGGUAAGGAACUGCAGUAACUUAUUUUCAAAAGGAUUGAUAUCAAAAUGGAUUUACCUCUUUCCCCAAACAUCCUUCCCUUAAUAUCCACAAAAGCAAGUAAAAAUAACCAAGUAUAUAGAUAUUAGUGGGUUACCUUUCAGUCUUUCAUGUGAGAUGGUGUCUAUGAAGCAGAACAACCAUGUGGAGAAACUGGAAGCAACUGCCUGGUGGCUCAGUAGCUGCCCCUCUUCACACUUAAGUCUGGGAAUGUUGGGGAAAAAAGGAUGGCAAAUCCCACAUGGGUGAGCCUCCUGGUGCCCAUGAGUAGCUGUAUCCAAACCUUGGGGGUUACAUUUCCUCAAUUGUGAUUUCAGAAUGUCAUGUUUUCAAACUGGUUUUGCAAUGUAAAUCAAGAAUGAGUUCCAGAAAGGCUUGGUUUAGUCAUAAAUAACAUAGGAACAGCAAAAAGACAAAAUGCAUCAAAAAAAUAGGGAUAUUUUCAUUUAACUCUAAUUAUAAUUAAAAUACUUGAAAGUAUGAUAAAAGAUUCCCAAAAUAAAUCUGAGCUGUUUGCUUCAUAUAAUGAAGAAAUCUAGUUAUUUUUAGCAUUCUAACAGAAUAUAAUUUGGUAUAGAGAUAGAGUGUUAAUUUUUGGUUUCUUUUUUUCUCCAAAUAAGCAAGUAUUUCAGAGGUACAUACAUAGCAAAUUAAUUUUUCAUCGAUAUUAUGCAUAAAUGAAAUUUACUAGAGAAAAUAUGCAUAUGUUAAAUUGAAUAGAUUCACCAUAGAAUCCUGAUAAGAGUUCACCUGCUGUUAAUUUUACUCUGAGUUAAAAGAUUACCAAGCAACGAAACCAGAUGUUUAAGCACAUCUUCACAGGGCAGAAAAGAGGGUUUUCAGAUUAGAGCUUCUAACAGAUUUUGAUCCUGAGACACUGUCAUCCUAUCGGGUCAGGACUGGGUAAUAAGUGACAUAGACUCCCAAGGCAUUCACAGAAGGCUAAUUCACUUUGUUAAGAAACCCAUUGCUUUUUAUAUUCUAGUUUGCUACAGGUGGACCUGAUUGAUCCUCUAAUUAAAACACCAUUACCAUUGGCUAAUUAAGAAACCACCCUUUUGGUAAACAUAUGUCCAUAACACAUUCCAUAUGUUCACGACAUCAGAUGCAGCAAAUUAAGAUAAGAAUUGUUUAUAAUUAUUUUCUUUGGUCUUCUCACAGCCUUUCCCAGAAGGAUGCCUGGGAAAGUUGUCUGGUUUUUUCUGUGACCAGAGAGCUGCUACCUUAAGUAAGAGCUUAUAGAAGCCCAUGGAGAUCUCUCAGAUACACUUAACAGAACCCAAUAGAUAAUAAGGCAACUGAUGUGACAAUCUCUGUAUUUUACAAAGGAAAUGUAAGGGGUCCCGGAGUAAAAUAAAGGGUGAGGCAAGAGCAGGAACCAAAAGACAUCAUUCUGGUAAAGGAAAGGUAGUAUAGUGAAGUUCAGGUCAGAGAGGAAGGAAAGGAUAGAGCAGCAAGAGGGACAAGGGACGGUAGUCUUGCUGUCCUCCCCAGUUAUGCAUUUUCUUCCCUUGUGUGUAAAUCAGGGAUAUCUCCUAGCCGAUGCUAAGCAUUUCACCUUUCUCCCAUAGAAUCUCAUGGUAAGGAGCUAACUCAGACCUCCUUCACCCACCGUGGGGGACAUGGCCAGAGAUGGUUUUGUUCCAGUUUGUUUCUGCUCCAGGAGUACCUGCACUCAUUUAACAGUGCUUGGAUGAAUGACCUGGAGGAGCUUUUCGUGUUCGAAGAAUAGCUGGUGUAAGUGCUCUGAAAUACGUAUGUUUAUUCAGUGUUGAUUGUAUUAUGGACAUGGAGGUUCUGAGAUGUAUUUUGGGGAAUUUCUGUCCUGGGGUUCUCCAAAGGAGAGAAAGCAAGAGCAAGCUUUUAUAACAACUAUCAGAUUCUGUGGAUGGUUUUUGCUUCUUAAAUACUGUUACUGUAAUGGGAAUAGGAAUGGGAUCUGAAUGGCCAGUAUGGGUAUAACUUUUAUAAUCUGAAAUGGGGAAGUAGAUGAUGACAGGGGCAGAAUCAACUUGCUUUUAAGUGCUUACUAUUGCUGUAACUGUCAUGUCAUGAAAGGUCAUUGACAUCAUCAGCUGUAAAGCCAAGUUAUUUUCUUUUUUCUGAUACAGUAUUUCAGACAACCAUUAGACAAUUUCCAUUGUGCUAUAACAAACAGAAAUUUAGGGAUGGGAACAGGGUAUUUCUGUCAGCCCUGGAGCUAGUGGAGAGAAUAGUGAUGUGGGAUCCCUACAGCUGCUCACUGGCCUUGGGGGACACUUGUGUCUGUGCCCUGUGAGUUGACCUUUUCCUGCUCUCUGCGGUAUUGACAGGUUUCCUCCUCCAUUAAGGGCUGUCUAAUUUUGCAUACCUGAACUGCAUCACUAUAGCCACAUCUUAAAUGGUAUCUGCAGCUAAUUGAAAGUCCACUGGCUGUACAAAAGUGAAUGUAAAUGCAUUCUCUUCAAAAUAAUUCACUGCUGCAAAACUCUGUUGAGGCAGUAGAGGCAUCCCAGGCAUUCUUCUGCCCUUUCAGAUUGAGAAAGUCAACAAAUACUAGAAAACCACAAAAUGAAGAGUUAUUUUCAGUUUUCAGUCCAAAAAAGUACAACUCGCCUGCUAAAUUUUUCUGUUGUGGCACCUUUGUCUGGAUGCACAUGUACAAUAUAACACUGUUUGUUUUUCUUUUUUCAAUUAGCCUCUACAUAAACUAUAUUAUUCUCCAGCUUCAGUGUUGAAAAGCUUGACAACAAAAAAUACCUGUAAGCUGACUCUACCCACCUUUCUCCAUGAAAUUUCUAAAAUGCAUAGAAAAUUUAAGAUUAGAAAUGACCAGCCAAUAACCCAGCACCUCCAUAUUCACUACUAAAUCCCGUUCUCAAGUGCCACAUUCACACACCUUUUGAACACUUCCAGGGAUGCCUAUUCCACUUCCCUGCACAGCCUGUUCCAAUUAAUGACCAUUUUCCCAAAUAUCCAAUCUAAACCUUCCCUGGUGGAGCUUGAGGCCAUUUCUUCUAAUCCUGUCAGUGGUUGCCUGGGACAAGAGGCUGACCCCUCCUGUCUACAAUCUCCUUUCAGGUCAUUUUGAGAGUGAUUAGGCCCCUCCUGAGCUUCCUUUUCUCUGGGCAAAAUAACCCCAAAUGUAGUUUAUUAUAUAUCUUAAGGCACUAACACACUGUUUUUUUCUCUGAUCACAUGUCAAGGUCUGAUAGAACUCCUGUUAUUGCAUAGAACAUCCCUGAUGCCUCCUCUUGGACCCACAGCUCACCCACAGUGCUCUUGCCACAUGCUGCAGUUACUUCCUUUGGGAGCAGGACACUAGGAUUUUUUUCCAGCCUUCCCAGGGCUGCUGUCCCCAGGGGAAGAAGAGGGAGGACAGAAUUCAGUGUAUCUGUAUUUAUUAAUCUUUCUCACAAAUUUGGGGUUGCUGAAUUUGAAAUUAUACAAAAGUAUUGUCAGGUAUCCAUAGGUAUUCUCAGUGAAUUCUUGCACUGGGAUGGCAGGGAUUCCACCACCUCCCCAGCUAAUCUCUUUCAAGGCAUAUAAUUAGAAGACAAACUGUUGAUAAACAUUCCCUUAAGCAUGACUUUAAAAAAUCAUGCUUACAGAAAAGUAAUUGUAUACUAUUUUCAUCUUUUCAAUAGAAAGUAGUCGUCUUGCCUAAGGGUAAAUAUCUGAAAGUUGGUUGUCGAUGUCUAGACUCAUCAACCUAGAUUCCCUUUAUAGCCAGCUGAAAGAAACAGGCACCUCCAGGGCAUGAUUCAUCUGUCUAUCUUAGAAGAAGCGGUAAGUGGAGAAGGAUUUCUUUCUGAAAUAUAUGCCUCAGAAAUUAUUGGAGUUGUUCAGGAAAUGGUUUUCAUAUUCUGUGGGAAAUGGAUUUAAAGAACUGAUUUUCUUCAAUACUAGAGUGAAGAAAAUCACUUUCAAGAAAUUUUCAAGAAAAUUACCUAUUUCAAAAUUACCUCUUAGUAAAAUGAAAGAUUUUUUUUCUCAUGUUUUCUUCUUUUAAGUUUUAUAAUUCACAAUGGAAAAAUUUUAUUUGGAAAUGAAGAGAGAUUUUAAUAAGAAAAAUUGAAACUUGAGAUCAAAGUGGAAUAUUUUGAUCUCUUUGGAGUCCUUCAACUUGAAUUGCCUUUUCCUUAUGAAAGGUCACCAAAAUUGGUCCAUUCCUACUACUACAGAAAGUUUUGAUUUCCAUGGAAUAGCAUUUUUGUAGAAAAAUGUGACAAAAAAUUUUUUUCAACUAACUGUACAAGUUUUAUGUGAGUGUGUUUGUACAAAUAAGUGUUUUAAAUCUCUUUAUUCUCUUUACAAAAAUAUUUUGCUUUCAAUUAACAAAAUCAUUUUAACUUUCCAUGGCCUAACAAGUAGCUCUCACUUAAGAAAGGGCACAGUUUUGAGAAAUGCCUUACAAAGGCAAGCCUCUAAUAGAAUUAAAAUAAUUAGGCACAUAAGAUUGUUUUGGGCUGAUUUGGUGUCACUGUUUUCUUGAAGGGCGUGACAAACAGAUGGAAGUAUCAUAUAGGCCCUACUUUCAUGUGACCAAAAGCAAACAAAGAAAACAAGCAGAAUGACAUUGUAAUAAGAAGAAUUUGGUUUGGUUGCCUCCUAAAAAAAUUAACCAGGUGUUUGAGUUUUGUAUUAUAAGUGAUUGAUGGCUAUUAAGCUAUCUGAGACUGCCAAGCUAAUACAUCGAGCUACAGUAUGACAAUAAUGGGCUGUGACAGUCUAACUGAGUAAGGGAAAGUUUCACAGAACUGGGUGUCUGGAAGGAAGACAUCAAAGUUGACAAAUGACUUCUAGUGAACUUGCUUCCUUCUGCAAGGCAUGUUCCAGUGUUGCUGAGAGACAGAUGUUAAAUGGAGCUAGACAGAACUGAACACACUUCUGUAAAUAUCUUGCUGAUAGGAUGAUUUACACACCAGA